CCGGCCCCGCCCGUGGGGGUGUCCCUCCCGCCGCCGCCGUCCGCGCGCCACUCCAGGGACGCUCCCCGUGCGGUUCCCGGCGCACCAUGGCCCGCUGGGCCGCCCUCGUGCUGCUGCUGCUCGCCCUGCUGGGCACCGUGCCGCCCACCCCGGGCCAAGACUUUGAUUUAUCGGAUGCUAUUGAUGAGGAUGUCAAGAAGCCCACGUCCACCCCCAGAAAACCCAACACAGAUGAUGGCUUCAAUUUGGAAGACGCUCUCGGUGGCGGAGGAAAACAUGACCCAGUACCACCCAAUCCACCCAAACCCAAACCUAAGCCGAACCAGCCUGGCUCUUCAGGAGGCUUUUCGGAUUCUGAUCUUGUUGACAGCAAUUCAGGUGGAGGUCGGAGGUGCUGGUCCUGGGUGUCACGUGCGCUUCCCAUUCCCAACACGAUGCGUCACUGGGCCUUGUUCUCUGUUGCAGGAGGUGGCGGUGGCGGCGGCGGUGGCGGCGGGGGCGGAAGCCAGAGGCAUGACGACAAUGAGCAAGGCGACUCCCCCGGGGUGGUGCCUGGCAUCGUGGGCGCCGUAGUCGUCGCCGUGGCCGGUGCCAUCUCCAGCUUCAUCGCCUACCAGAAGAAGAAGCUCUGCUUCAAAGAGAACGCUGACCAAGGCGAAGUCAACAUGGAGAACCGCCAGGGCGCCAACGCCGAGCCACCAGUGCAACAGACGCUUCUGGAGAAAUAGAAGACGGGCAGCUAAGCAGCCGCGUUGGCAGCAGGAUCGCCAGCUUGCCUGCUGGGCGCCUCCCGACGGCCUGCCUGCGGGGGGCUGAGCAGCCCCGCCAGGAACAAGCCCCGGCGAGUUCGUGCCUUUGCCCAAGGGGAUGCCACGUUUUAACCCUGAGACGCGUCCGCCACCACCGUGCCCGGGGGGAUGCGUUCCGCCGAGGUCCGCAUCCAGAGAGCACAGGACGCUCACCUUCGCCACGGCGCUGCAGGAUUCCCUGGGGAAUGUGAAGGGCUCAGCCCCUGUCACCAGGUCGCCGUCGUUCGAAUAGCCGCCCCGCUCAAGUCCCCGCAGACCGGAACGCUGCGCUGUUCACCCAUCGCUGUAUUAAAUGCGCCUGAACCUCCCCGCAUCCGGGCCUUUUGUAGAACGAGGGAAGCCUUUGGUUAGUUUCCUCAAGAAAAAAAAAAUAAGUUCUUUUAUUGAUGAGGACUCCCCCUCCCCCGCCCCAGACGAAUAAAAAGAAAUGAGAAACCCACGUCCUUUUUACGUGAAUGUUCAGCCAUGGAGGCCCUUGUAGAAAAGGCAUGGAAACGAUUGGGGUGGAGACCUGGGUUCUGUUUUCUGGGACCGUCGGACCGAUGAUCCCCCUAAGUGCUGGCUCCUUUGUGGGCUUUUCUGAAUCUGUUUCCUCCGGUGGUCACGUGGGGAAAGGUAUUUCUUAUCAUUCAGAUACGCUAGUCAAUGAGAUACUCCCCUGGGCGAGAUGCUCCCCUCAGCCAGAUGCUUCCCUGAAUCAGAUACUCCCCUCCGCGAGAUGCUCCCUUCAGCCUCAUUCCGCGUUUUGAUGUCGUGGCUCGUUGCGUCAUGAUGUGUGAAAAAGAGGGCUUUUGAAAAUCAUUUGGAACUUCUCCAUAAAGACGUCAUGGGUUUAGAGUCCAAGGGAGUUUGCAUCACCAUAAAAGAAUGUAUUUAAGGGCUGUCAGGAGACGGUAGGGACAGCAGGGGGGUUGUUGAAAGCCUGUGUCAUAACGUGUGUUUGACUAACCCCCUGGAGCUGUGGCCAAGUCUUUGCUCUCCAAAUGCUGCAAGGGGUAUCUUUAUUUUUUUUUUAAUUUUUAAUAUAUAUUAUUUCAAAAUGCUUUGCACCGGACUGGCACAACAAUACCCAUUUAAUAAAUGUGAACUCUCAUUUUUAAA